rnacentral:rRNA from 1 species
UACGUAGGGGCCAAGCGUUGUCCGGAUUUAUUGGGCGUAAAGAGCUCGUAGGCGGUCUGUUGCGUCGGCUGUGAAAACCCGGGGCUCAACUCCGGGCCUGCAGCCGAUACGGGCAGACUAGAGUUCGGCAGGGGAGACUGGAAUUCCUGGUGUAGCGGUGAAAUGCGCAGAUAUCAGGAGGAACACCGGUGGCGAAGGCGGGUCUCUGGGCCGAUACUGACGCUGAGGAGCGAGAGCGUGGGGAGCGAACAGG